rnacentral:rRNA from 1 species
UACGUAGGGGGCAAGCGUUGUCCGGAAUCAUUGGGCGUAAAGAGCGUGUAGGCGGCUCGGUAGGUCCGCUGUGAAAGUCCAGGGCUCAACCCUGGAAUGCCGGUGGAAACUGUCGAGCUAGAGUCCGGAAGAGGCGAGUGGAAUUCCUGGUGUAGCGGUGAAAUGCGCAGAUAUCAGGAGGAACACCUGUGGUGAAGACAGCUUACUGGACCGCUUCUGACGCUGAGACACGAAAGCGUGGGUAGCAAACAGG